UUUGGGACUCAAAGUAAAAAAGA
rnacentral:piRNA from 1 species